rnacentral:rRNA from 1 species
UACGUAGGGUGCAAGCGUUAAUCGGAAUUACUGGGCGUAAAGGGUGCGUAGGCGGUUCGUUAAGUCUGUCGUGAAAUCCCCGGGCUCAACCUGGGAAUGGCGAUGGAUACUGGCGAGCUAGAGUGUGUCAGAGGAUGGUGGAAUUCCCGGUGUAGCGGUGAAAUGCGUAGAGAUCGGGAGGAACAUCAGUGGCGAAGGCGGCCUUCUGGACCAAUACUGACGCUCAUGCACGAAAGCGUGGGGAGCGAACAGG